AACGAACGCUGGCGGCAUGCCUAACACAUGCAAGUCGAACGGGAUCCUAGCUUGCUAGGUGAGAGUGGCGGACGGGUGAGUAACACGUGGGAACCUGCCUUUUGGUUCGGGAUAACCGCGGGAAACUGCGGCUAAUACCGAAUGCUCCCGUGAGGGAAAAGAUUUAUCGCCAGAAGAGGGGCCCGCGUCCGAUUAGGUAG
rnacentral:rRNA from 1 species